AUGAGGACGAGACUUCUGAGGAGGAGUAUGUGGAUAUAGAUACUGACAAAGAAGAACUUAAUGCAGGUAGGACAGUCGAUGAGCAUGAGUCGCUCGCUUCUCGUUAUGCGAGAUCCAGGCCUAGCGACAAAGCUCCUACACAGGUUGAGACGCGUGGCAAGUCCGUGCACGAACGACCCGUUGGUUCUAUGAGGGCUGGUAUUCCGAAAAAGAAGAAGACCGCUCAUAAACCACACGUUGGUCGGCGCCCCUAUGGAGUGGAUUUAGGAGACAUCGCCGACGGAGAGGAAGGACACUAUGG